CGCAUUGAGUUGUCUCACGAGACAUAAACACGCGCUGUCGGGGGUAAUGACAUCGUUGAAUUUCAUGUGAGAUACAUGUCGUGCGCUGGUGUGUGUUAGCACACAUGCAAAGCAUAAUCAAUGACGUCACACGGCGUGAAGCAAACGCGUCGUGCGCUGCGUUGUGUGCGUUGUGUGCUGGUGUGUGUGACCAUACAAAGAAAGCUUUACAUCAGCGCGCCGUGGCCACUGGUGGAACCGACUGUUUCUUUGACAAAAUGGCGCAAAAUGUCACGAAUUUAUCAUGCAUCAAGUUAUAUUUUCUUUAGUAUAAUAAUUACAUUCGUUUAGUUAAGCAACUUGUUUAUGAUAAUUGUAGAAAAGUGUAGAAAAAUGACACCUGCAUUAUAUCCUGGGAUGAAGAAACGUUAUUUUAUGUCGAUUUCUUUAGAUGACAAAGGAGGUAACCAAAUAGCAUAUCUUACAAAAUCUGAGGACAAUAAUAAGGAUCGUUUAUCAAGUCGGUUGAGAAGCGGAUCGAGAAUGAUUGUUUGAAUAUAAGUCGUACAAAAUUGGAAUGAAACGAUGAACAAUAUACAGAUCUUUAGACAGGCUCAAAUAAUGUAUGUUUAGGAGCAACUUGAAGAUAAUGGAGAUUUAUCUUCUUAAUAUAAAACCUCUAAAAUUGGGAACAGUAUGUCAUAUAUGCAUGAACUUGAUUGAUGUAUUGAUGUAUAAUGAACUGAAGAUAUAAUGAAUUCAAUCAGGUUAAAAAAAAUGUAUGUGCAAAAGCGACUCGAAGACGAUUUAGAUUUGUCUCCUGAAUAUAAAACUUCCAAGAAGUACAUCAUAUAUGAAUAUCCUGUAUCCUCGCAUUUGAUGUAAUGAACUGGCGAUAGAAUGAAAUCAGUCAGUGUUAAAAAUGUAUGUGUAAAAGCGACUUUAA